AGUGAACGCUGGCGGUAGGCCUAACACAUGCAAGUCGAACGGCAGCACAGUAAGAGCUUGCUCUUACGGGUGGCGAGUGGCGGACGGGUGAGGAAUACAUCGGAAUCUACUUUUUCGUGGGGGAUAACGUAGGGAAACUUACGCUAAUACCGCAUACGACCUACGGGUGAAAGCAGGGGAUCUUCGGACCUUGCGCGAUUGAAUGAGCCGAUGUCGGAUUAGCUAGUUGGCGGGGUAAAGGCCCACCAAGGCGACGAUCCGUAGCUGGUCUGAGAGGAUGAUCAGCCACACUGGAACUGAGACACGGUCCAGACUCCUACGGGAGGCAGCAGUGGGGAAUAUUGGACAAUGGGCGCAAGCCUGAUCCAGCCAUACCGCGUGGGUGAAGAAGGCCUUCGGGUUGUAAAGCCCUUUUGUUGGGAAAGAAAAGCAGCAGGUUAAUACCCCGCUGUUCUGACGGUACCUAAAGAAUAAGCACCGGCUAACUUCGUG
rnacentral:rRNA from 1 species